rnacentral:rRNA from 1 species
AAAUUGAAGAGUUUGAUCAUGGCUCAGAUUGAACGCUGGCGGCAGGCCUAACACAUGCAAGUCGAACGGUAACAGGAAGCAGCUUGCUGCUUUGCUGACGAGUGGCGGACGGGUGAGUAAUGUCUGGGAAACUGCCUGAUGGAGGGGGAUAACUACUGGAAACGGUGGCUAAUACCGCAUAACGUCGCAAGACCAAAGAGGGGGACCUUCGGGCCUCUUGCCAUCAGAUGUGCCCAGAUGGGAUUAGCUAGUUGGUGAGGUAACGGCUCACCAAGGCGACGAUCCCUAGCUGGUCUGAGAGGAUGACCAGCCACAC